rnacentral:rRNA from 1 species
UAAUACGUAGGGAGCGAGCGUUGUCCGGAUUUAUUGGGCGUAAAGAGCGCGUAGGCGGCUUGGUAAGCCGGAUGUGAAACCCCCGAGCUCAACUCGGGGCGGCCAUUCGGAACUGCCAUGGCUAGAGUCUGGUAGGGGAACACGGAAUUCCUGGUGUAGCGGUGAAAUGCUUAGAUAUCAGGAGGAACACCAGUGGCGAAGGCGGUGUUCUGGGCCAGUACUGACGCUGAGGCGCGAAAGCGUGGGGAGCGAACAGGAUUAGAUACCCUGGUAGUCCACGCCGUAAACGUUGGGCACUAGGUGUGGGGACCUAUCGACGGUUUCCGUGCCGUAGCUAACGCAUUAAGUGCCCCGCCUGGGGAGUACGGUCGCAAGACUA